UUCCAGACUCCUACGGGAGGCAGCAGUGAGGAAUAUUGGUCAAUGGCCGAGAGGCUGAACCAGCCAAGUCGCGUGAGGGAAGAAUGUCCUAAGGAUUGUAAACCUCUUUUGUCGGGGAGCAAAAAGGCUCUGCGGAGUCGUAUUGAGAGUACCCGAAGAAAAAGCAUCGGCUAACUCCGUGCCAGCAGCCGCGGUAAUACGGAGGAUGCGAGCGUUAUCCGGAUUUAUUGGGUUUAAAGGGUGCGCAGGCGGAUUUUUAAGUCAGCGGUCAAAUCGUGGGGCUCAACCCCAUCCAGCCGUUGAAACUGGGGAUCUAGAGUGUGCGAGAGGUAUGCGGAAUGCGUGGUGUAGCGGUGAAAUGCAUAGAUAUCACGCAGAACCCCGAUUGCGAAGGCAGCAUACCGGUGCACAACUGACGCUCAGGCACGAAAGCGUGGGUAUCGAACAGGAUUAGAUACCCGCGUAGG
rnacentral:rRNA from 1 species